CCUACGGGAUGCAGCAGUAGGGAAUCUUCCACAAUGGGCGAAAGCCUGAUGGAGCAACGCCGCGUGGGUGAAGAAGGUCUUCGGAUCGUAAAACCCUGUUGUUAGAGAAGAAAGUGCGUGAGAGUAACUGUUCACGUUUCGACGGUAUCUAACCAGAAAGCCACGGCUAACUACGUGCCAGCAGCCGCGGUAAUACGUAGGUGGCAAGCGUUAUCCGGCUUUAUUGGGCGUAAAGGGAACGCAGGCGGUCUUUUAAGUCUGAUGUGAAAGCCUUCGGCUUAACCGGAGUAGUGCAUUGGAAACUGGGAGACGUGAGUGCAGAAGAGGAGAGUGGAACUCCAUGUGUAGCGGUGAAAUGCGUAGAUAUAUGGAAGAACACCAGUGGCGAAAGCGGCUCUCUGGUCUGUAACUGACGCUGAGGUUCGAAAGCGUGGGUAGCAAACAGGAUUAGAUACCCCUUGUAGUC
rnacentral:rRNA from 1 species